GUAGUAGUAGUAGUAGUAGUAAUAAUAAUAACAAUUUUAUUUAUAUGUAUAUUCUACCCUAUCUCCCCAAGGAGAGUCUAUCUAGAUGUGGUAGAUAAAGUACAUAGAUGUGAUACAUAAUAAUAAUAAUAGUAAUAAUAAUAAUAAUAAUAAUAAUAAUAAUAAUAAUAAUAAUAAUAAUAAUAAAAAAUAACAACAACUUCAAAGACUCUGGCAGAAACCAGUGCAGGUGGUCCCGGUGGUGAUGGGCACACUGGGUGCUGUGCCAAAAGAUCUCAGCCGGCAUUUGGAAACAAUAGACAUUGACAAAAUCACCAUCUGCCAACUGCAAAAGGCCACCCUACUGGGAUCUGCACACAUCAUCAGAAAAUACAUCACACAGUCCUAGACACUUGGGAAGUGUUCGACUUGUGGUUUUGCGAAACGAAAUCCAGCAUAUCUAUCUUGUUUGCUGUGCCAUACAACGUCGUUGUGUUGAUAAUAAUAAUAAUAAUAAUAAUAAUAAUAACAACUUUAUUUAUAUGUAUAUUUUACCCUAUCUCCCCAAGGGGGGUCUAUCUAGAUUGUAGAAAGAGUAGAUAGAUGUGGUAAAUAGAUGCGAUACAUAAUAAUAGUAGUAGUAGUAGUAAUAAUAAUAAUAAUAACAACUUUAUUUAUAUGUAUAUUCUACCCUAUCUCCCCAAGGGGGGUCUAUCUAGAUUGUAGAUAGAUGUGAUAGAUAGAUAGAUGCAAUACAUAAUAAUCGUAGUAGUAGUAAUAAUAAUAAUAAUAACUUUAUUUAUAUGUAUAUUCUACCCUAUCUCCCCAAGGGGAGUCUAUCUAGAUUGUAGAUAGAGUAGAUAGAUGUAAUAGAUAGAUGCGAUACAUAGUAAUAGUAGUAGUAGUAGUAAUAAUAAUAACAACUUUAUUUAUAUGUAUAUUUUACCCUAUCUCCCCAAGGGGGGGUCUAUCUAGAUUGUAGAAAGAGUAGAUAGAUGUGGUAAAUAGAUGCGAUACAUAAUAAUAGUAGUAGUAGUAGUAAUAAUAAUAAUAAUAACAACUUUAUUUAUAUGUAUAUUCUACCCUAUCUCCCCAAGGGGGGUCUAUCUAGAUUGUAGAUAGAUGUGAUAGAUAGAUAGAUGCAAUACAUAAUAAUCGUAGUAGUAGUAAUAAUAAUAAUAAUAACUUUAUUUAUAUGUAUAUUCUACCCUAUCUCCCCAAGGGGAGUCUAUCUAGAUUGUAGAUAGAGUAGAUAGAUGUAAUAGAUAGAUGCGAUACAUAGUAAUAGUAGUAGUAGUAGUAAUAAUAAUAACAACUUUAUUUAUAUGUAUAUUUUACCCUAUCUCCCCAAGGGGGGUCUAUCUAGAUUGUAGAUAGAGUUGAUAGAUGUAAUAGAUAGAUGUGAUACAUAGUAAUAGUAGUAGUAGUAGUAGUAGUAAUAAUAAUAACAACUUUAUUUAUAUGUAUAUUCUACCCUAUCUCCCCAAGGGGAGUCUAUCUAGAUUGUAGAUAGAGUUGAUAGAUGUAAUAGAUAGAUGCGAUACAUAGUAAUAGUAGUAGUAGUAGUAAUAAUAAUAACAACUUUAUUUAUAUUUAUAUUUUACCCUAUCUCCCCAAGGGGAGUCUAUCUAGAUUGUAGAAAGAGUAGAUAGAUGUGGUAGAUAGAUGCGAUACAUAAUAAUCGUAGUAGUAGUAAUAAUAAUAAUAAUAACUUUAUUUAUAUGUAUAUUCUACCCUAUCUCCCCAAGGGGAGUCUAUCUAGAUUGUAGAUAGAGUAGAUAGAUGUGGUAGAUAGAUGCGAUACAUAGUAAUAGUAGUAGUAGUAGUAAUAAUAAUAACAACUUUAUUUAUAUGUAUAUUUUACCCUAUCUCCCCAAGGGGAGUCUAUCUAGAUUGUAGAUAGAGUAGAUAGAUGUAAUAGAUAGAUGCGAUACAUAGUAAUAGUAGUAGUAGUAGUAAUAAUAAUAACAACUUUAUUUAUAUGUAUAUUUUACCCUAUCUCCCCAAGGGGAGUCUGUCUAGAUGUGGUAGAUAGAUAGAUGUGAUAGAUAGAUGUGAUACAUAAUAAUAAUAAUAAAAAUAACAACAACAACAACUUCAAAGACUCUGGCAGAAACCAGUGCAGGUGGUCCCGGUGGUGAUUGGCGCAUUGGGUGCUGUGCCAAAAGAUCUCAGCCGGCAUUUGGAAACAAUAGACACUGACAAAAUCAUGAUCUGCCAACUGCAAAAGGCCACCCUGCUGGGAUCUGGGCGCAUCAUCCGAAAAUACAUCACACAGUCCUAGACACUUGGGAAGUGUUCGACUUGUGAUUUUGUGAUACGAAAUCCAGCAUAUCUAUCUUGUUUGCUGUGUCAUACAACAAUAAUAAUAAUAAUAAUAAUAAUAAUAAUAAUAAUAAUAAUAUAACAACUUUAUUUAUAUGUAUAUUCUACCUUAUCUUCCCAAGGGGAGUCUGUCUAGAUUGUAGAUAGAGUAGAUAGAUGUGAUAGAUAGAUAGGAUACAUAAUAGUAGUAGCAUUAGUAGUAGUAGUAAUAAUAAUAAUAAUUAAUAAUAUAAAUUUGUUUAUAUGUUUUUUCCACCCUAUCUCCCCAAGUCUAUCUAGGUAUUGUAGAUAGAGUAGAUAUAUGCAAUAGAUAAAUAUGAUAGAUAGAGACAGACAGGCAGACAGACAGAUAGAUAGAUAUUGUUGAAGGUUUUCAUGGCCAGAAUCACUGGGUCACUGUGAGUUUUUUGGGCUGUAUGGCCAUGUUCCAGCAUCAUUCCCUCCUGACGUUUUGCCUGAAUCUGUUGCAAGCAUGCUCAGAGAUCUGUUGAAAGUGAGGCAAGUGGAGUGUAUAUACCUGUGGAAUGAUAUCUAGGGUGGGAGAAAGAACCUUUUUCUGUUUAAGGAAACGUGAAUGUUGCAAUUAGCAAGCUUGAAUUAGUAUUUGAGUAGCCUUGCAGCUGCACAGUCAAUCAGUGAAGAUAUUUGCAUGGAGGUAGCCUGGCCUCUGUUGCCUGGAUGAACCCUUUGUAUGGGAGUUGUUAACUGACACUUAAUUGUUUGCUGUCUGGAGUUCUCUUGUUUCUGAGUGAAGUUAUUUAUUUACCGCCUUGGUUCUGGUGUUUUUUAAACUACUUUUUAAAAUAAUAAUAUUGUU